UAAAGGGGAGGCAGGAGGGAGCACGGGAGGGGCUGUACUGCGCAUUUGGGCUCAUGUCCUGGACAAAAGUGGAACCUCUUCCUUAUACCUCAUUGCUGAGGAACCCUGACUCUUGCUACAUUCAACCAGGCAGCGCGGAAACUAUCGCAUGUGACAGGGAUUGCCACCUGCCCGGGCCUUGUCAGACCUCCUGCGGAUCGCUGCUGGAAUAAUCAGAGUAGCUCGCAGCCUGCCGCUGCUGUGCAGCCAGAUAGACCGCACCGACGAAACGCUGGCUGAAGUGUGGACCUCGCUCCUACUCGUUUUGGAAGAAUUAACUGAAAACCACCCCAUAGUAUAUAAACGCCAUGUUGGGGAGGAGGGGUGGUGAAGGACGGUAUUACAAGAAGUAUCGGCUCAAUAUCAGUUGUGUUUUGACUAAAAUUAAAAAAAGAAAAUAAGACCUGACAGAUAAUCAGAUGUGAAUCCACAAGAAUUACCGGAGAUAGUUUUGCUUAACGGGUUAUGGUGUUAACGGUGUUAACGGGUCAUGAUGAAGCCCAGAGCCCCAAGUUCAUCACACCUGGCUAACAAACGAGUUAUUCUAUUGGGAAGAGCUGUAAUAAGAAUGAGACUGUCAACGUGUGAGAAAAAAAAAUAUACAUGCAUCUAUAUAUACAUAUACAUCUU